rnacentral:rRNA from 1 species
UACGAAGGGGGCUAGCGUUGUUCGGAAUUACUGGGCGUAAAGCGCACGUAGGCGGAUCGUUAAGUUAGAGGUGAAAUCCCAGGUCUCAACUCUGGAACUGCCUUUAAUACUGGCGAUCUUGAGUCCGAGAGAGGUGAGUGGAACUCCUAGUGUAGAGGUGGAAUUCGUAGAUAUUAGGAAGAACACCCGUGGCGAAGGCGCCUUACUGGUCCGGAUCUGACGCUGAGGCGCGAAAGUGUGGGGAGCAAACAGG